rnacentral:rRNA from 1 species
GACGAACGCUGGCGGCGUGCUUAACACAUGCAAGUCACGGGGGGUCGCAAGACCAACCGGCGAACGGGUGCGUAACACGUGAGCAACCUGCCUUUGUGUGGGGGAUAGCCGGCCCAACGGCCGGGUAAUACCGCAUACGAUCCGUGGAAGGAGUCUUCUGCGAAGGAAACCUCCGGGGCACAGAGAGGGGCUCGCGGCCUAUCAGCUAGUUGGCGAGGUAACGGCUCACCAAGGCGACGACGGGUAGCUGGUCUGAGAGGAUGGCCAGCCACAUUGGGACUGAGAGACGGCCCAGACUCCUACGGGAGGCAGCAGUGGGGAAUCUUGCGCAAUGGCCGAAAGGCUGACGCAGCGACGCCG